GAUCCGCCCACCUUGGCCUCCCAAAGUGCUGGGAUUACGGGUGUGAGCCGCUGCACUCCACCUCUUUCUCUUCUUAAUGAUGUUGUUGUUGCACAGGUUCCCGAGGGUCUGGCUUCCUUUGAGACAUUGUUAUUAAUCCCUCAGUGUCAUUCCUUUGAGACAUUGUUAUUAAUCCCUCAGUGUCAUUCAUUCAGAUGCCACUGUGAACAUUCUUGUGCAGGCCUGCUUGGGUACAUGUGACAGACUUUCUUUUUUUUUUUUCCUGAGACAGAGUCUGGCUCUGUCGCCCAGGCUGGAGUGCAGUGGUGCCAUCUCGGCUCACUGCAGCCUCCACCUCCUGGGUUAAAGUGAUUCUACUGCCUCAGCAUCCCGAGUAGCUAGGACUACAGGCACCCGCCACCACGCUGAGCCAAUUUUUUGUAUUUUUAAUAGAGACGGGGUUUCACCAUGUUAGCCAGGAUGGUCUCGAUCUCCUGACUUCGUGAUCCACCCCCCUAGGCCUCCCAAAGUGCUGGGAUUACAGGUGUGAGCCACCAUGCCCGGCCGCACAUUUAUAUCUUUAAUUCAUUUGUCUAUUUGAAGUCAACCCUUAGGAGAUAAUACUUUUCACGCAUUAUCUCAGAGAAGAUCAGUCUGCUGAGGACAUAAGUGACAGGUCCAGAUUUUUUUUUUUUUUUUUAAUACUAGAGACAGGGUUUCACCAUGUUGGUCAGGCUGGUCUUGAACUCCUGGCCUCAAGUGAUCUGCCUGCCUCGGCCUCCCAGUGUGCUGGGAUUACAGGCAUGAGGCACCACGCCCACCCUCCAAAUGUUUUUUUGAAUGGGCAAAAUAAUCCACAGUAAAUAUAGAAUGUGCUUUAUGUCUAAAUGCUAAGAACAUAUAGGCAUUAAUGACGUUGAAAACAUUCUUUUCUUAGUACUGUAUUGAUAAAUGUGUGGCUAGCUUUUUGGUGGCAGUAAUAAACAUGAAUAGCAACAAAGCAACAACAAAACUGAGGGCACAUUUGGAAGACAAAGAGAUAUGAAGGACAAUAUGGGAUCUGGUGUUAGUUUUGUUUUGGGUUUUGCCUGCUGCAUGGGUCACAGGAAACAUUUAGUUACAGAACUGGAGACCUAUUAAAAUCCUCUCAUUUGUAGGCCUGUGGUGUGUGUUUCUUAUAGCAGAGCAAUGGCUGCUGUGUGACUGUAAGUUUGGAAUUUAUGGUAAUAGAAGCUUUAAAUAUCCCAAACAUUACAGUAAAGGUGGAAGGAGCCCUUCUUAAAGAAGCAAGGUCAAAUAUUCAUUUUGAAGUUGAAAUGAAUCAACAGGCAGUCUCUGAAGAAUGCCAUUUCCAAGUUCAGAGAAGAUGCAGUUAUGCCAUCAUAACAUCAUAACAGUCUGCUGGUUUCUGCAUGACAUGUGGAUAUAAAACACCAUCUUUUCUAUUGAGAGGCCCUAAUUUAAAGCAAGAAAGUUCAGUGGUUGUGGUGACUUUUUAAAAAGUUGCUUCAAACAUUAUAGGGUGAAGAAUUUUUCUUUCUUGGAGGAUACCAGUUAACCUUAGACCUCUUAGAUUUGUAUUGUUUACAUAUAUCGCUAAUGAAAUAAUUUUUUUCUCACAGUUUAAAGUGAUCUGUGAGCAUGAUUAUCUUCCCUAAAAUAAGUAACACCCAAAAUAAGAAUAUAUGAUGUAAAAAUUUUAAAUGAGUUAAUACCAGCAGCAAAAAUAUUACUUGACAUUCCAUCAUAUUAAUACAUUAAGUUCUAGUUACCAAGAACCCUUUAUAUUUACUCGUUGUUACAUUGUACAAUAUAGUUUAUAAACUGCUUGUUCAUUUAUCAAAUUUCAUUCAACAUUCCCAGAAAUGUCUUGUGCAGUAGGUGGUAUUCAUUUUUAGUGUAUUAGGAAUCUGAGGCUGAGAGAGAUUAUGAUAUUAAUAGUUACAGUUUAUUGAGAACCUAUUAAGUACCUGGCACCUUAACUUGCAUCAUUUCAUUUAAUACUGAAAACCACAUAAUGGGCCGGGCGUAAUGGCUUAUGCCUGUAGUCCCAGAACUUUGAGAGGCUGAGGCUGGUAGAUCGCUUGAGCCCAGAAGUUUGAGACCAACCUGGGCAACAUGGCAAAAUCCUGUCUCUAUAAAAAAUACAAAAUACUAGCUGGGUGUGGUGGUGGCAUGCGCUUCUGGACCCAGCUACUUGGGAGGAUGAUGUGGGAGGAUUACCGGAGCCUGGGAGAUUGAGAUUGCAGUGAUCUGUGAUCACGCCACUGCACUCUAGCCUGGGUGACAGAGCAAGAAGACUUUGUCCAAAAAAAACAAAAAAACAAAACACACACACACACAAACCCACACUAUGAAGUAAGUACUGUUUUCAGCCAUAUUUCCCAGAUGAGGAAACUGAGGUUUAGAGUGAUUAAGUAACUUACCCUAGAUUAUAUUGCAAGUAGCAAUUGUUAUAUGGUAAGUAGCAGAGUAGGCAGAGCCACCACUAGCUAUGAGAGACUUCUGUUUGAAUUAGGAAAGUUACCCCCUGUGGUGAACCAAUGAGGAAGCCAAACUUCCUCUGGCCUGGCACACCACCCGAAGCAGUAACUUGGGGACCUGUGCUUAGAUGCCACUUAUUUCAGCAUCUGUGAGCUGAACAUGGGCAGAAUUUCAGCCUUAUUUUGCUUCCUUGAUGCCUUUGUACUGUGCACAAACUGAGCCACCCUUACCCAAAGGUCUUAAAGCCCAGAUUUCAAUCCAGGUCUAUUUGAGUCCGGAGCUUAUAUUCUGUUUAAUAGCAUGCUGCCAAUUAAUGGCAAAGUUAAGACUUCAGCCAGAUUUUCUGAUCAUCAGUAUUUUCCUCCUUCUAUUAUGUAUCAUGCAGGUUGGUUGAAUUACAGAUGACACUGGAGGCGGGGCAUGCUGACUCACACCUGUAAUCUCAGCACUUUGGGAGGCUAAGGCAGGGGGAUUACUUGAGCCCAGGAGUUUGAGAUGAACCUGGGCAACAUAGACCCUGUCUUUACAAAGAAUUAAAAAAUUAGCCAGGCAUGUUGGCACACACCUGUGGUCCCAGCACUUUGGGAGGCAGAGACAGGGUUUCACCAUGUUGAUCAGGAUGGUCUUGAAGUCCUGACCUCAGGUCAUCCACCUGUCUUAGCCUCCCAAACUGCUGGGAUUACAGGCAUGAGCAGCCCAGGAGGUUGAGGUGGCAGUGAGCCAUGAGUGCAUCACUGCACUCCAGCCUGGGCUUAGCUAGACACUGCCUCAAAAACAACAACAACAAAAAGCCCAACAAAUGACACUCAAGUCCCAUACUGCCCAGUUUGCAGACAUUUUUUGCAGAUGAUGUUAAAGAUUUCUUAGCACUUCUACAGAGUUAUAACCUCACAUAUUUCAUAACAAACUGUGUUUUUAUGUGGCUCAAGAUUUGUAUUGAAUUCCUGGUAUCACUACCUAGUUAGCUGUGUGACCUUGAUCAAGUUAGGAAGGGAAUAUAAUAAGUAUAGUGGUUAAAAGCAUGGACUGUAGUCUCAGACUACCUGGGGUCAAAUUCUAGCUAUUUCUUACUAGAUAUGUGAACCUGAGAUUUUUUUUUUUUUUUUUUUUGAGGCAGAGAUUUGCUCUUGUUGCCUGGGCUAGAGUGCAAUGGUAUGAUCUCAGUCACUGCAACCUCUGCCUCCCGGGUUCAAGCAAUUCUCCUGCCUCAGCCACCCAAGGAGCUGGGAUUACAGGCAUGCACCACCAUGCCCAGCUAGUUUUGUAUUUUUAGUAGAGACGGGGUUUCAGCAUGUGGAUCAGGAUGGUCUUGAAGUCCUGACCUCAGGUGACCCACCCGCCUUGGCCUCCCAAAGUGCUGGGAUUACAGGCAUGAGCCACCCCACCUGGCCAGCUUGGGCAAUUUACUUUAUGUCUUUAAGCCUGGUGUGUAAUGUUGAUGGUAGAGUGGGGAACAAUUAUACCUAUCCAAUGAGUUGUGAGUACUAUAUGAGUUAAAUACAUGAAGCAUUUAGAAUAGUGCCUUGCGCAUAAAUAUAGUAAAUACAUUAAGUACUAUUUAAGUGCUAACUGUUGUUAUUGUUAUUAAUAUUAGAUCACUAUGAGUUUGCACUUGUAGCCUGUAAUUCAAAGCAAUUUGAACGGCGGAAGCAUAAAUAGAUAAAUGAUCAUCUAAAUAUGGCAUCUCUUCAACCCUUGUUGUUGUUGUUGUUUUUGCCAGAUAAGAGUUUUCAAAGGUUGUGCCAGAGUACUUGCUUUAGGGAUAUUAGCCCAAUUGAAACCAUUUUUUUUUUUUUUUCAUUGAGACAGAGUCUCUCUCUCUGUUACCCAGGCUUAGAGUGCAGUGAUAUGAUCAUAGCUCACUGCAGCCUCAAUCUCCCAGGGUCAAGCAGUCCUCCCACCUCCGCCUCCUGAGUAGCUGGGACUACCGGUGUGCACCACCAUACCCAGCUAAUUGUUUUCUUUUACAUGUUUUGUAGAGACAAGGUCUCGCUUUGUUGCCCAAGUGGGUCUCGAACUCCUGGUCUCAAGUGGAUCCACCCACCUCAGCUUCCAAAGUGCUGGGAUUACAGGUGUGAACCACCACACCUGGCUAAUUUUUUGUGUUUUUAUUAGAUACAGGGUUUUGCUGUGUUGCCCAGGCUGGUCUUGAACUCGUGAGCUCAAGCAAUCUUCCUGCCUCAGCCUCCAAAAGUACUGUAUUACAGGUGUGAGCCCGGCCAAAAUCAGUUUUUAAAAGAGGUUUACAUGGCCGUAUGGUAUUCUCUUUCUUUUUUGGAAACAAUACUAUUUGUACCAUGUUGUGUUAUCAAUCUAUGUUUGGAUUGUUAGCAUUUAAGAACUACAUUUUUCAGUAGAUUGCUCUAGGUUAUAGCCACUAACAAUUACUUAUACAUAAAAAUUUUCUUUUGAGUCAUUAGCCAAUUUGGGGGGCCUCUCAGGAGAAACUGCAUAAUUCACUGGGUGAAUGCAAGUUCAUUGCUCUUGGAGGCUGUGAUAGCAUAAUCAUUGCUUGCUGUAUUCAUGGUCAGUACACCUUCUGAUUUGUUUUUAGUAGUAGUUUUGCCAUAUUCAAAGAAGAGCUCAAUCUGAGGAGACUCCUUGAUUUGACCUUACUUUGGCAUAGCUAGCAUAUUACCUUAAGUUAGUGUUUGCCAUCUAUUUUGUUCCCUGACAUUCUCUGUUGACGUUUUAUGCCCCGCCCCCCGUGUCCAGCUCCCCUCCUCACAAUCCCUGCCCCCUGCUGCCAUCUUUAGCACUGGAAAGUUAAGAGUUUUGAUCUCAGAGUUCAUCAACUCAAGCUUUUGCUUUUUAUUUGUAAAAGAACCAUGUGAAGCUGGGCUCAGUGGCAUACACCUGUAGUCCCAGGUACUUGGGAGGCUGAGGCAGGAGGAUUAUUCGAACUCAGGAGUAUGGGUCCAGCCUGGAUAACGUAAUGAGACCUCCAUCUUGAAAAAGGAAAAAAAAAAAAAAGAAAAGAACCAUACGAAAGUACAUAAGUGUAUGAAAAAGCUACUUAACAUUUCAAAAAGCAGUAAAUGGCACAUUGUCAAGUGAGUGGUUUUAUCAGUCAGGGUCUCACAAGGAAAACAGAAACCAUUUCAGGCAUUUACAACAGAAGGAAUUCAAUGAGGGAAAAUUAUAAUGCAGAUAGUGAAAGAGCUGAGAGCCAAAUAGGAGAUGGUGAGGUAAUGUAGAGAUUAGCAACGGGAAUCACCACCACCACCUCCUCCAGCUGAAGAAACAAGGGAGAUGUGACAUUAUUGUAUAAGGAGUACAAACAAUAUUGUUUCAGGGAAAAACAUGAAAAAGGAAAAUAUAAUUUGGGACAAGUACAGUGUGCUUCAUCUCCUUCUUCCUCCUACUUCCCCAACCCCCACCCAAAGAACAUACAGAAAGCUCUGUAAAAAUUGCUAGUUUUUGAAUGGAAGCUUUUUACUUUUUCUAAGAGGUGCGAGCCUGUGUGUCAGUGCUAAAAUAUAAAAGUAGUUUUUUAAAAGGCCAUAAAAAUUGGAGUAACAUCACCUAGUUCAUAAUAAUUUUUUUUUAAUCUCUAAAGAGGGAAAGAAUUUAUGCCUAGCUAGCUGAAGUGGUCUGAAGAGAUAAUUUGAAGAGUUAUUUGAUAAUAUAAGCCAGUGUUUUUCCCCAACUAAAUAAUUCUGUCCCCCUCCCCCAUGAGAAUGUUCUUUGAAGCAAUUGUCAGAGAAGAAAUAUAAUUUUUCCUUAACCCUCAUAAGUUCAUAGUUGGGGACAGACCUUUGUGACAAAUGACAGAUUAACAAGCGAAAAACAAGCAGGUGUAUAUUCACGUGUGCAGUGCACAUGAUGCAGGAGAAACCUCAGUGAGAAGUAAUUCAAAGCAGUGGCUUAGAACACUUGCCUAUGUAGCAUCUUCAACAAAGAGCAAUGAAUUUUCCAGAAGUGACAAGACAAAGAAAAGCAGGUUAACACUUCUAAAGGUGGGGAACUAUGGGAAGGAAAAGUAAAUAUGUGGCAGUAAACUAGUGGAGUAAGAUUUGUGAUCCCUCUGGUGCCAUAUCUGAGUUGAUAAGUUGUCUCCAGUAAAGGAGAAUUUAUAUCUUUAGGUAGAAAAGCAGGAGAGGAGGAUAGAAAGAGCUCUUCCUUUAUUCAUUAAUUUUUCUCAACUCCCUCUUCACAGAUUUGGUUAAGAGAGUCUAAAACUAUGUUGUCCAGGUUGGCCUCAAACACCUGAGCUCGAGUGAUCUCUCAUCUCAGUCUCCCGAGUAGCUGGUACUACAGCCACAUGCCAUUGCACCUGCUUCUUCGGUUUAAAAUAUUUAUGUCAAAGAGGAAUAUUUUGGGGUGACAUAUUCUGGCUUCCUUUACAGCCCUCUGUGCUAUAUCAUGUCCACAGAUACAGUUGUGUAUUGGUACACAGAGAGACGGUGUGUAAAAUCUCAGAGAAUUGAUGGUGUAUGUAUGAAACCUCAGAGAAACUGCCACCCAGAGAAAGGGAAAUAGUUACUAAGGCAGUCUAUUUCUUUUUUCUGAAAGUAUGAAUAUGCAACUUUCAGUUACUAGAAUUAAUUUACUUCAGGCUGCUUGUGGGUGGAUUAGAUUAAUUGAUGAGUAUUGGUCAAGAAAUAAACCAAUGCUUUUGCUGAAUGGGCCAAUUUUUUUGGCUUUCCCUAAAAGCAGAAAUCACAGAAUCAUAAAGGUAAUUAAACCAUGGUUUUCAUGGCUGUUUAAUCUAUUUUCUUGACUUUGAGAAAUUUAGUGUUUGAGGCUUUUAAAAAAUCUCUCUUUUCCGUAAUAUUACUUAAAUUUUCUAUUGGAAACACAAUUUUAAGACAGAAUUAAUAAGUAGUGUGGAAUAAGACAAUGAUAAUACACUUAGAAUAAGGUUUGAAAAAUGCAGUAUUAUUUAAUGGAAUGAGCUUCAAGAUAAAAAGGCUCUAGUUCUGUUUGUAGCUCUGUACCUGUUUAGUUGUAUUAUUAAGGUUUGUUGCUGAACCUCUUUAUGUCUGUUCCGCAAGUCUGCAUGUAGGGUAAUAGUACUUCUGUUCAUCUGUAGCAGGACGAGCCGCAGACAAAACUCCUCAAACACCAACUUAAAGAGGGAAGGGGUUUAUUCGGCCAGGGUUAUCGGCAAGACUCCUGUCUCGAGAGCCUAGCCCCCGAGUGAGCAAUUCCUGUCCCUUUUAAGGGCUCACAACUCUAAGGGGGUGCGUGUGAGAGGGUCGUGAUUGAUUGAGCAAGCAGGGGGUACAUGACUGGGGGCUGCAUGCACUGGUAAUUAGAUCGGAACAAAACAGGAUAGGGAUUUUCACAGUGCUUUUCUAUACAAUGUCUGUAAUCUAUAGAUAACAUAACCGAUUAGGUCGGGGUCAGUCUUUAACUACCAGGCCCAGGGUGUGGCACCAGGCUGUCUGCUUGUGGAUUUCAUUUCUGCCUUUUAGUUUUUACUUUUUCUUUCUUUGGAGGCAGAAAUUGGGCAUAAGACAAUAUGAGGGGUGGUCUCCUCCCUUAAUCUUAUAAACUUAGCAUGAAGUUUAAAUUAAGUCUAUGAAAUUUGUUUUAAAAUAAAAACUCUCAGUACAAAAAUAAAUACUCUUACAGACUGAAUGUUUCUUCCCCCCAAAUUGAUACUACAAAUUUACAUAUUAUAGGGUUGAAGCCUAACCCUCAAUGUGACUAUUUGGAGAUAGUGGCCUGGGAGGAAGUGACAGAGGUUAAAUGAAGUCAUAAGGGUGGACCCCUAAUCCUAUAGGGCUGGUGCCUGUUUAAGAAGAAGACAUGCCAGAGCUCUUUCUCUCCACCGUGUGAGAAUACAGUGUGAAGGUAGCUGCCUGCAAGCCAAGAAGAGAGCCCUCACCAGAAACCAAUCCUUGAUUUGGAGCUUCUAGCCUCUAGAACUGUGAGAAAAUAAAUUUCUGUUGUUGAAGCCAUCCACUCUUUGAUAUUUUGACAGCCUGAGCAGACUGAGAUACUCCUGAUGCUACAUUAUUUUUAAAUUCUGUAAAACUUUAAAUUUUUUUUUUUUUUGAGACAGAGUCUAGCUCUUUUGCCUGGGCUAGAGUGUAGUUGCGUGAUCACAGCUCACCGUAGCCUCGACCUUUUGUAUUCAAGUGAUCUUCCUACCUCAGCCUCCUGAGUAGCAAGGACCACAGGCAUAUACCAUGAUGCCGGGCUAAUUUAUUUUAUUUUAUUUUUGGUGGAGACAAUGUCUCACUAUAUUGCUCAGGCUGCUCUUGAAGUCCUGGGCUCAAGCGAUCCUCCCAUCUCAGCCUCUCAAAGUAUGGGGAUUACAGGUGUGAGCCACCUCACCCAGCCAAAAUUUUGAAAUCUUUAUUCAAGAAAUGGUUCCCUGAAAAACCAGGUUAUAAUGCUCAAAAGUCACACUUUAAGAGAAAGGAAUAUUUAGUGAGCACUUAACACCAGGGCUUGUUUUAGAUUUAUUUAAAAAUAUAUUUUAUAAUUUGGUCCUCAAAAAACCCUACGUCAUAAAUGUUUUGGUUUUCUUUUGUUUUUAGAGAGGGUCUCACCCCGUCACCCAGGCUGAAGUGCGGUGGCAUGAUCUUGGCUCACUGCAGCCUCAAACUCCUGGGCUCAAGCAAUCCUUCUUUCUCAGCAUCCUGAAUAGCUAGUACUACAGGUCAGAAAUCUGACAGAGGUCCCACUGGGCUAAAAUCAACGUGUCUUCAGGGAUGUGUUCCUUUCUGGACCUGUGAGAGCAGAAUCUGUUUCCUUGCCUUUUCUGGUUUCUGGAGACUACCCACAUUUCCUUGGUUCAUGAUUUUUUUCUCCAUCUUCAAAGCUAGUGUUUUCUGUUCCUUUCAGGCUGCCAUCUCUCUGGUUCUCUGGAGCUGGAACAGGUUUUCUGAUUUUAAUUGAUUAAAUAACUGUGAUUAGAUUGUGCCCACCUGGAUAAUCCUGGGUGCAAACUUUUUCAUUUUUACAUCAAAGUCCUUAGCCACAUCUGUAAAGUUCCUUUUGCCACGUAAGGUAACAUAUUCACUAAUUUUGAGGAUUAGGGCAUGGACACAUUUUGGGGUCCUUAUUUCACCUACCAUACUAAGGAAAUAUCAAAGAGUCUGGCACCUAACCCAGUUUAGGAGCCCAGGAAAAGCUUCGAGGAGCAGAUCAGCUGGGUCUCAAACUGGGUGAAGCGGGAGUAUGAGUGGCUGCUGGCUGGGUGUCAAAUGAGUGAGGGAAAGGCAUUUGAGCUAAGGGGAGCUACAUGAGUAUAUAUAGAGGUGUGAAAAAGAAUGGGUUUUAACAUUAAUUUUUAUUUUUUAAAGAAUCACAAAUCAGUAAAAAUGUAGUAUGAAAUGGUAGCUUGGGGAUGAGUAGGGAUGGAGAGAAAGGUUUGAUUAUGGUGGGACUUUGCAUACUGUGCUUUACAGCUUCAGUUUAUCCUGUAGACAGUGGCAUGACAUUGAAGGAUUUGAAACUGGCGAGUGACUUGAUUAGAUUUCACUUUAGGUAGAUCAUAUUCAGCUGUCUGGAGGGGGAAUAGGCUGGCGGUAAAGAGACUGAAAAGGCUUUUACUAUAUAGUUCAGGUAUCUUUAUAUAUAAUUCAGCUGAUUAAGUUUUUGGCUUAGGUGACUGAGUCAUACCAUCAGAGAUAGGAAAAUACAGAAAGAAAGCUAUGAGAGGUGUAAGGUAAUAUUAAUACUCUCCCCUUCACACUCCCCUUCCACACACACACACGCAUGUGCUCAACCAAAGAAUGAACCUUGAUUAAAGUCAGCCUAAAUUUCUAUUUUUUUUCUCUAAAAGUAGCCAUUUACCAUCAGUAAAUAAGCAGAACAGUUUAGGUUGAACUGUUAUAUUUUCCCUUCUUAGGAGCUGACUUUAUUUCCUUUAGCAUCCCCUUCACAUUUACAUAAUGUUGACUGGACACAUGUUUUGUCUUUCCUUGUCCUGUGGCUUUCAGUUCCACUAAAUGAUUUAAGAAAUUAAGGCAUUGUACAAGUCCAUUCCAGUUUACUUUCUUCUUCAUUUUGCUGUGGUGAUUGAGCCAGUUUCUGGCUUUCCAAAUAGCCCAUUAUUCAAUUUAAUGGACAGUGUAAUCUUGUCUGCAGAAGGAACUUGUUAUUUGAAGAUAUCAGAAACAUUCCAGGGACAUAGUUACUGGUUGGGAGUGGAAUUUGUGUGUAGACCUGGUAUUAAAAAAACCUUGUGGUUUUGCAGCAUUCUAAUGUAUUGCAUACCUAGGAAUUCUAGCUAUUUUGAAAGAUGAUUCUGUGGUUGGUCCAGUAGCUAAAAGGUAACAUAACAUUUGAGCACAUGUGCCCAAAUAUGUUGUUUACCAGAUGAAUUAAGAGUUCUUACAUUACACUGCUAAAACUAUAAAAUGUUUAAAUGGUGAUUAUACUUUUUCAUUGGGAAGACUAUGCAGUAGGGAAGAAUUACAAUUUGGAUUUAAAGUAUUACAUUCCCCUAAACAGAUUUGGGGUUAUAAUUUUAAUAUUUCUAAUUGAGAUAUGGGCUGCAGUCUACUCAGAGUAACUAAGAAAUGUAAUUGCCAUGAAGUUCUGAGUAGAUGUAUAUGACUUUUGGCUAUAUUAAGAGAAUAGGAUUUAUCAGGGAAUGGUCUGAAUUUCUAUAGCACAAGUUAACUGUAAAUACUUUGAGAAAGCCACUAAAUAGAUUCAUUAAUGACCACAUAUUUAUAGAACAGGAAAACAUACGACUUAUAUUGAUGUGAUUUUUGCCCUUAUAAAGAAUUAAAUAUUAGAGGGCCGGGAGUAAUGGCUUGUGCCUGUAAUCUCAGCACUUUGGGAGGCCGAGGUGGGCAGAUCGCUUGAGCCCAGGAGUUCAAGAACAUCUUGGGCAACAUGGUGAACCCCAUCUCUUAAAAAAAAAAAAAAAAAAAGAGAGAGUUAGGGCAUGUAGAACAAGAGUUUUAAUGAAAAGAUUUUUGUGUUUUGGCCCUUAACCUCGGUCUAUAAAUUCAGUUGUUGAUAGCAUAGUGCAGUUAAUUUACAACUAUUUGAUUGUUUAGAAAUGUAUUAAUUAAAAUAGUUUUGCCCAUAAAAUGUUGCAAAAUCUAUAAAUGGUUUCGUAAGAAGUACUAUAAAAGAGGAGAUGAUAGAAGAGGGUAAUGAGUAGAAGGGAAAGGUUUUAUUAGCCUUUUGUUCUUCUUUAUGCUACCUCCUUCUAUAAAGUUGUUAUUUCCUAGGUCAUGUUUUAUAUUUCAAAGAUUAUUAUUUUAAUAAUCUGUAGGGCUUUCUAUUAUAGAUAUUAUUAAGGCAAAUACCUCCAGGAAGAAUAAGCAAUAAGUCUGGGCAUGGUGACUCACACUUGUAUUCCCAGCAUUUUGGAAGGCAAAGGCAGGAAGAUAGCUUGUGCCCAGGAGUUCAAGACUAGCCUGGAUAACAUAGCAAGACUCCAUCUAUACAAAAAAUAAGAAAUAUAGCCAGGCAUGGUGGCACGUAUCUCUGGUGCCAGCUACUCCAGAGGCUGAGGCAGGAGGAUUGCUUAAGCCCAAUAUGUUGAUGCUGCAGUGAGUUAUGAUCUACACUCUAGCCUGGGUAACAAAGCCAGACGCUGUCUCAAAAAAAAAAAAAAAAAAAAAAGAAAGAAACUCGACAGAAUAAAAACAAUUCAGAUGACUAUUUUCUUUUAUUUUAUUUUCUUUUUCUUUUUUUUGAGUCAGAAUCUUGCUCCCAGGCUGGAAGACAUGGAGUGCAAUGGCGAGAUCAUAACUCACUGCAGCCUUGACCUCCUAGGCUCCACUGAUCUUCUUGACUCAGCCUCUUGAGUAGCUGGGACUACAGGCAUGUGCCACCACACCCAGCUAAUUUUUAAAUUUUUUGUAGAGAUGUGGGGGUCUCACUGUUUUGCGGGCUAGUCUUGAACACCUGGCCUCAAGCAGUCCUCUCACCAUGGCCUUCCACAGUGCUGGGAUUGCAGGCGUGAGCCACCAUGACUGACUGUUUUUCAUUUCUUGACAUUCAUAUCAAUUGGAAUAAAGUUAAGAGAAAGUUGCAAAUUUCAAGUACCUUUUGUGUGGCUCUUUUUUCUUGUCUUUCUUUUUAUAGUAUAAGUAUGACAAGACUAGAUUUUCUUGAAUCUCAGAUUAAACCCAACGUGUCUUAAUUAGCAUUAGCAAUUUAUGGCAAAAGUCAAGGUUUGCCACAGUCUCUGCAGUUCAGAUAUCAGCUUUUCUUUUAAUGGCCUUUAUAUAUUGCUAAGUACAAAAUAUGCAAGAAAAAGACAACCUAUGUUUAUUCAUUACACAUAGAUCAUUGAAGUCAUGAAUUAGAAAUCUGUACCUUAGAGCUGCUUGGACUACUAGAACCCUUGAAUAUUUUUCAAUUUUACCUUUAACUAAAAAAAAUUCCUUUCUCAUCUGUACUUUAGGAGAUUGCAGAAUCUUGUGGCGAGGGUAUUAAAACUGACCAUUCAAAGUCAUAGCCCAUUUCUUGGUACUUGCAUUUCUCUCUGUGUAAAAUUGGUACUUCAUAGCCUUCUGAUCCUGUAUUUCUGAUACUUAUUGAUCAAUUAUGAUUGAAAGCCAGGUUGUUUAACGCUCUGUCAGUCUUCAAAUGAACUUUUAUUUAUUAAACUGUUUAUUCCUUCUGAUUUAAAUAAAUUUCAUUUCCCAAAGAUGAGUAGGUAUGAAAAAUAAUACUCAGAAGAGAUUGUUCUUGUGGGGAGAACUGCUUCUACAGGAUCUAGCUUUGAUUUUGUAUCUUUCAAUCUUUUUAAAAUCAACUUUAACGAAUUUAAACCUAUUUUAAGUGUACAAGUAAUAAGUUUGACAAUUGUAUGUGACUUCUACCACAAUAAAAUAUAGAACAUUUUUAUCAUUCUA